GGUUAAGCGACUAAGCGUACACGGUGGAUGCCCUGGCAGUCAGAGGCGAUGAAGGACGUGCUAAUCUGCGAAAAGCGACGGCGAGGUGAUAUGAACCUUUGACCCGUCGAUGUCCGAAUGGGGAAACCCAGUGUGUUCCGACACACUAUCGUUAACUGAAUACAUAGGUUAACGAGGCGAACCGGGGGAACUGAAACAUCUAAGUACCCCGAGGAAAAGAAAUCAACCGAGAUUCCCCCAGUAGCGGCGAGCGAACGGGGAGCAGCCCGGAGUCUGAAUCAGCUUGUGUGUUAGUGGAACGGUCUGGAAAGUCCGACGGUACAGGGUGAUAGUCCCGUACACGAAAAUGCACAGGUUGUGAACUCGAAGAGUAGGGCGGGACACGUGGUAUCCUGUCUGAAUAUGGGGGGACCAUCCUCCAAGGCUAAAUACUCCUGACUGACCGAUAGUGAACCAGUACCGUGAGGGAAAGGCGAAAAGAACCCCGGCGAGGGGAGUGAAAAAGAACCUGAAACCGUGUACGUACAAGCAGUGGGAGCACCUUCGGGUGUGACUGCGUACCUUUUGUAUAAUGGGUCAGCGACUUAUAUUCUGUAGCAAGGUUAACCGUAUAGGGGAGCCGAAGGGAAACCGAGUCUUAACUGGGCGUUAAGUUGCAGGGUAUAGACCCGAAACCCGGUGAUCUAGCCAUGGGCAGGUUGAAGGUUGGGUAACACUAACUGGAGGACCGAACCGACUAAUGUUGAAAAAUUAGCGGAUGACCUGUGGCUGGGGGUGAAAGGCCAAUCAAACCGGGAGAUAGCUGGUUCUCCCCGAAAGCUAUUUAGGUAGCGCCUCGUGAACUCAUCUUCGGGGGUAGAGCACUGUUUCGGCUAGGGGGCCAUCCCGGCUUACCAACCCGAUGCAAACUACGAAUACCGAAGAAUGUUAUCACGGGAGACACACGGCGGGUGCUAACGUCCGUCGUGAAGAGGGAAACAACCCAGACCGCCAGCUAAGGUCCCAAAGUCAUGGUUAAGUGGGAAACGAUGUGGGAAGGCACAGACAGCCAGGAUGUUGGCUUAGAAGCAGCCAUCAUUUAAAGAAAGCGUAAUAGCUCACUGGUCGAGUCGGCCUGCGCGGAAGAUGUAACGGGGCUAAACCAUGCACCGAAGCUGCGGCAGCGACACUAUGUGUUGUUGGGUAGGGGAGCGUUCUGUAAGCCGUUGAAGGUGUGCUGUGAGGCAUGCUGGAGGUAUCAGAAGUGCGAAUGCUGACAUAAGUAACGAUAAAGCGGGUGAAAAGCCCGCUCGCCGGAAGACCAAGGGUUCCUGUCCAACGUUAAUCGGGGCAGGGUGAGUCGACCCCUAAGGCGAGGCCGAAAGGCGUAGUCGAUGGGAAACAGGUUAAUAUUCCUGUACUUGGUGUUACUGCGAAGGGGGGACGGAGAAGGCUAUGUCAGCCGGGCGACGGUUGUCCCGGUUUAAGCAUGUAGGCGGAGGUUCCAGGUAAAUCCGGUACCUUAUUAACGCUGAGGUGUGAUGACGAGGCACUACGGUGCUGAAGUGAUAAAUGCCCUGCUUCCAGGAAAAGCCUCUAAGCAUCAGGUAACACGAAAUCGUACCCCAAACCGACACAGGUGGUCAGGUAGAGAAUACCAAGGCGCUUGAGAGAACUCGGGUGAAGGAACUAGGCAAAAUGGUGCCGUAACUUCGGGAGAAGGCACGCUGAUAGGUAGGUGAAGCCCCUGCGGGCGGAGCUGAAAUCAGUCGAAGAUACCAGCUGGCUGCAACUGUUUAUUAAAAACACAGCACUGUGCAAACACGAAAGUGGACGUAUACGGUGUGACGCCUGCCCGGUGCCGGAAGGUUAAUUGAUGGGGUUAGCGGCAACGCGAAGCUCUUGAUCGAAGCCCCGGUAAACGGCGGCCGUAACUAUAACGGUCCUAAGGUAGCGAAAUUCCUUGUCGGGUAAGUUCCGACCUGCACGAAUGGCGUAAUGAUGGCCAGGCUGUCUCCACCCGAGACUCAGUGAAAUUGAACUCGCUGUGAAGAUGCAGUGUACCCGCGGCAAGACGGAAAGACCCCGUGAACCUUUACUAUAGCUUGACACUGAACACUGGUCCUUGAUGUGUAGGAUAGGUGGGAGGCUUUGAAGCGUGGACGCCAGUCUGCGUGGAGCCGUCCUUGAAAUACCACCCUUUAAUGGCUGGUGUUCUAACGUAGACCCGUGAUCCGGGUUGCGGACAGUGUCUGGUGGGUAGUUUGACUGGGGCGGUCUCCUCCCAAAGAGUAACGGAGGAGCACGAAGGUUGGCUAAUCCUGGUCGGACAUCAGGAGGUUAGUGCAAUGGCAUAAGCCAGCUUGACUGCGAGCGUGACGGCGCGAGCAGGUGCGAAAGCAGGUCAUAGUGAUCCGGUGGUUCUGAAUGGAAGGGCCAUCGCUCAACGGAUAAAAGGUACUCCGGGGAUAACAGGCUGAUACCGCCCAAGAGUUCAUAUCGACGGCGGUGUUUGGCACCUCGAUGUCGGCUCAUCACAUCCUGGGGCUGAAGUAGGUCCCAAGGGUAUGGCUGUUCGCCAUUUAAAGUGGUACGCGAGCUGGGUUUAGAACGUCGUGAGACAGUUCGGUCCCUAUCUGCCGUGGGCGCUGGAGAAUUGAGGGGGGCUGCUCCUAGUACGAGAGGACCGGAGUGGACGCAUCACUGGUGUUCGGGUUGUCAUGCCAAUGGCACUGCCCGGUAGCUAAAUGCGGAAGAGAUAAGUGCUGAAAGCAUCUAAGCACGAAACUUGCCCCGAGAUGAGUUCUCCCUGAGACUUUAAGUCUCCUGAAGGAACGUUGAAGACGACGACGUUGAUAGGUCGGGUGUGUAAGCGCAGCGAUGCGUUGAGCUAACCGAUACUAAUGAACCGUGAGGCUUAACCUU
rnacentral:rRNA from 1 species